GGGCCCAUAGCUCAGCGGUAGAGCAGUUCCCUUUUAAGGAAAUGGUCGCAGGUUCGAUCCCUGCUGGGCUCA
rfam:Candidatus Woesebacteria bacterium RIFOXYB1_FTLL_40_26 rifoxyb1_full_scaffold_996, whole genome shotgun sequence.